GAUGAACGCUGGCGGCGUGCCUAAUACAUGCAAGUCGAGCGAAGCGGGGACGGGUGAGUAACACGUGGAUAACCUCCUAUAAGACUGGGAUAACUUCGGGAAACCGGAGCUAAAACGGAUGUUUAUAGAUGGAUCCGCGCUGCAUUAGCUAGUUGGUAAGGUAACGGCUUACCAAGGCACCGAUGCAUAGCCGACCUGAGAGGGGGAUCGGCCAUCAGGGAACUGAUACACGGUCCAGACUCCUACGGGAGGCAGUAGUAGGGAAUCUUCCGAAAUGGGCGAAAGCCUGACGGAGAAACGCCGCGUAAGUGAUGAAGGUCUUGGGAUCGUAAAACUCUGUUAUUAGGGAAGCGGUACCUAAUCAGAAAGCCACGGCUAACUACGUGCCAGCAGCCGCGGUAAUAC
rnacentral:rRNA from 1 species